rnacentral:misc_RNA from 1 species
GAUGAAGAACGCAGCGAAAUGCGAAAAGUAAUGUGAAUUGCAGAAUUCAGUGAAUCAUCGAAUCUUUGAACGCACAUUGCGCCCGCUGGUACUCCGGCGGGCACGCCUGUCCGAGCGUCAUUUCAACCCUCAAGCCCUCCUUCGGGAUGGGCCUGGUGUUGGGGCUCGGCCGCCAUCUCCGGCGGCCGUCCCCUAAAUACAGUGGCGGUCACGUCGCGACUCCUUUGCGUAGUAGAAACACCUCGCUCCUGAUAGCAACGCGGUCCACGCCGUAAAACCACCAAUUUUCAAUGGUUGACCUCGGAUCAGGUGGGAAUACCCGCUGAACUUAAGCAUAUCAAUAAGCGGAGGA